GCUCGCCGGAAGACCAAGGGUUCCUGUCCAACGUUAAUCGGGGCAGGGUGAGUCGACCCCUAAGGCGAGGCCGAAAGGCGUAGUCGAUGGGAAACAGGUUAAUAUUCCUGUACUUGGUGUUACUGCGAAGGGGGGACGGAGAAGGCUAUGUUGGCCGGGCGACGGUUGUCCCGGUUUAAGCGUGUAGGCUGGUUUUCCAGGCAAAUCCGGAAAAUCAAGGCUGAGGCGUGAUGACGAGGCACUACGGUGCUGAAGCAACAAAUGCCCUGCUUCCAGGAAAAGCCUCUAAGCAUCAGGUAACAUCAAAUCGUACCCCAAACCGACACAGGUGGUCAGGUAGAGAAUACCAAGGCGCUUGAGAGAACUCGGGUGAAGGAACUAGGCAAAAUGGUGCCGUAACUUCGGGAGAAGGCACGCUGAUAUGUAGGUGAAGUCCCUCGCGGAUGGAGCUGAAAUCAGUCGAAGAUACCAGCUGGCUGCAACUGUUUAUUAAAAACACAGCACUGUGCAAACACGAAAGUGGACGUAUACGGUGUGACGCCUGCCCGGUGCCGGAAGGUUAAUUGAUGGGGUUAGCGCAAGCGAAGCUCUUGAUCGAAGCCCCGGUAAACGGCGGCCGUAACUAUAACGGUCCUAAGGUAGCGAAAUUCCUUGUCGGGUAAGUUCCGACCUGCACGAAUGGCGUAAUGAUGGCCAGGCUGUCUCCACCCGAGACUCAGUGAAAUUGAACUCGCUGUGAAGAUGCAGUGUACCCGCGGCAAGACGGAAAGACCCCGUGAACCUUUACUAUAGCUUGACACUGAACAUUGAGCCUUGAUGUGUAGGAUAGGUGGGAGGCUUUGAAGUGUGGACGCCAGUCUGCAUGGAGCCGACCUUGAAAUACCACCCUUUAAUGUUUGAUGUUCUAACGUUGACCCGUAAUCCGGGUUGCGGACAGUGUCUGGUGGGUAGUUUGACUGGGGCGGUCUCCUCCUAAAGAGUAACGGAGGAGCACGAAGGUUGGCUAAUCCUGGUCGGACAUCAGGAGGUUAGUGCAAUGGCAUAAGCCAGCUUGACUGCGAGCGUGACGGCGCGAGCAGGUGCGAAAGCAGGUCAUAGUGAUCCGGUGGUUCUGAAUGGAAGGGCCAUCGCUCAACGGAUAAAAGGUACUCCGGGGAUAACAGGCUGAUACCGCCCAAGAGUUCAUAUCGACGGCGGUGUUUGGCACCUCGAUGUCGGCUCAUCACAUCCUGGGGCUGAAGUAGGUCCCAAGGGUAUGGCUGUUCGCCAUUUAAAGUGGUACGCGAGCUGGGUUUAGAACGUCGUGAGACAGUUCGGUCCCUAUCUGCCGUGGGCGCUGGAGAACUGAGGGGGGCUGCUCCUAGUACGAGAGGACCGGAGUGGACGCAUCACUGGUGUUCGGGUUGUCAUGCCAAUGGCACUGCCCGGUAGCUAAAUGCGGAAGAGAUAAGUGCUGAAAGCAUCUAAGCACGAAACUUGCCCCGAGAUGAGUUCUCCCUGACUCCUUGAGAGUCCUGAAGGAACGUUGAAGACGACGACGUUGAUAGGCCGGGUGUGUAAGCGCAGCGAUGCGUUGAGCUAACCGGUACUAAUGAACCGUGAGGCUUAACCUU
rnacentral:rRNA from 1 species